CAUGUGUGUGUGUGUACAUGUGUGUAUGGGUGUGUGAGUAUGUGUGCAUGUGUGUGUACAUGUGUAAGUGUGUGUGUGUGUGUGUGUGUGUGUGUGUGUUUUAGGAGGGAGAAGAAUGAUGAGACUGUCUUAGCACACCACAACAAAGGAUCACAAUUUAUCAUCUUUAAGCUCAAACCCACAGGUUCACAGGGCCACAUUUUCUCUCAAGGUCCCAGGAAAGAAUAUUUUCCAGGUCACUCUCCUAACUUUAACACCUCCUCAUCUGUGGUAGCAUAACUCCAAUUUUUACCUAGCUAUCUGCUUCCCAGUCUGUCCCUAGGUCUGAGCCCCUCCCCCCUUUUCAUAAGACACCAGUAAACCUGCCACAUCCCAUUAUGAUCUCAUCUUAACUGUGUCUGCAGCAACCCCAUCUCAAAGUCAAGUUACACUCGAAGAAGUGGGUGUUCAGACUUCAACAUAUGAAUUUAAAGGACACAAUCAUGCAUAAUUGUGACAUCAGGGAUAGGAAGCAGGAAGAGUCUAUAUAACGAAAAGCACCGGCAGACCAUGAGGAAGAAGAGAGCCAUGGUGUUCAACCAAGUCAAAGCCAAAAGCCACCUCUGGAAGGAGAGCCAUUCACACUGAGGUCACAAGUGGUUCACAGACACUCAGUGAGAACGCUACAGUAAUGUGGCCAUUUAUUUUGUAGCUGCAUUGCUACUAAAAAUGGACUGUCAUUCAUCACACCUUCUGAGAAAGCAAAGGAUAUGCAGAAUAGAGCAUAAAUAUCUGAAAAAGAAACUGAUGUUUACCUCUAGGAGUAAAGGACUCAUCGCAGGGGCUCAUAUCCCCCAGGACGAACAGAAGAUUUUCCUUCUAGGACAGAAAGAAGAUUUUCCUGCCACUUUUGCCAUCUGGAAAUUUUGGAUCGCCCAUCCUUCCUGGAAGAGAUGUAUAUGUUCCUAUAAAUAUAAAUCGUAA
rnacentral:lncRNA from 14 species